AGGAGUUUGCCCCAUCAGCAGAUUCCCCUGACAUCCAACCGGAAGUGAAACCGCUGCUGAGCCUGUGGAUAUUUGGACAUGGGGCUGGCUUCCGUCGGUGCCGUCUGUCGUUGGUUUCUGCUCUCUUCGUGUUUUGCCAGAAAUGGGACUUUCUGUGUCUCUAGUUGAUCUGC
rfam:Equus caballus chromosome 2, whole genome shotgun sequence.